rnacentral:misc_RNA from 1 species
CGGCCAAAAAAUUUGCCUCUCUGAAGACAUGAACCACCCGCACUUCCCAACCAGACGCCAACAACACUUUUAUCUUAUUCACCAUUGCCCUUUGACUAUCGGAAACUUCAAUUUUAUCCAACAGCAUAUUCACUACCUGUAAAUUAUCAUAUUCUACAACAAUUUUUCCAACUCUCCUGAAUUUGGCCAGCCUCAACUCCAUAUAAACAGCCCAAAGCUCAGUCAUAGGGAUCGAAUGCCUUCCCCAGCGAGCCACAAACCCAUCAAUCCAUUGCCCCAUCUGCCCCCUU